AACCAGCAAAACCGAAGCUAUUGGAAAACUUUCCUGUGUGCCAAAGCGAGAGAGCAUGUCUUCUUUCUCUAGAUUUUGGACGGCACAACGCCGAUCGUGUGGCCUAUGAACGAAAAACGGGAGAAGGGGAAACCGAUAUCCUUCGAGUAACACACACGCAUGCAUCUGCAUGCGUAUUCCGCUGAACCGAGACUACACAUCUCUCUCGAUCGCCCAUGAUUUUUCUGCUAUCGCGCUCAUCCGGGUGUUAGGCAUCCUCAGUCUGUCCAGAACUUUCACUGUGGAAGUAUGUUGGAGUGAUGUGUGAUUUCUUGUGCCCCGUACUUUGCUCGUUUACGUUUUGUGCCGUGUUCCUUCUUCUUCAAUUAUGGAAUGAUUUAUCCUUGUAAAUUUCUAAGUUACAGGUGCACGCGCAUGUUAAUCGACGGUUGCCGACGGAAGGACGGUGUCCGGUUUUAAAAUAUCAAGAUAUCAUCACAGCUCUUUCGUAGAAGAGCGCACUUCAAGGACGCAUAGGAUACGGCUAAACAUGCGCAGCACCAGUCCGUGACGUCAUUUCCAGACAGGCGCCGGCUGAACACGCGCAGCACCAGUCGAGG